rnacentral:rRNA from 1 species
AUUGAACGCUGGCGGCAUGCCUAACACAUGCAAGUCGAACGGAGCGGCGGACGGGUGAGUAAUGCCUAGGAAUGUGCCUGGUAGUGGGGGAUAACGUCCGGAAACCGGCGCUAAUACCGCAUACUAUCAGAUCAGCCUAGUUCGGAUUAGCUAGUUGGUGGGGUAAAGGCCUACCAAGGCGACGAUCCGUAACUGGUCUGAGAGGAUGACCAGUCACACUGGGACUGGGACACGGUCCAGACUCCUACGGGAGGCAGCAGUGGGGAAUAUUGGACAAUGGGGGAAACCCUGAUCCAGCCAUCCCGCGUGUGCGAUGAAGGUCUUCGGAUUGUAAAGCACUUUAAGCUGGGAGGCGUUACCUGCAGAAUAAGCACCGGCUAACUACGUGCCAGCAGCCGCGGUAAUUC